GUGAGGAAUAUUGGGCAAUGGGGGGAACCCUGACCCAGCCAUGCCGCGUGAGGGAUGUAGGCCCUACGGGUCGUGAACCUCUUUUGUCGGGGGACAAGGACGCGGUCGUGAACCGUGUUUGCGGGUACUCGGCGAAUAAGCAUCGGCUAACUCCGUGCCAGCAGCCGCGGUAAUACGGAGGAUGCGAGCGUUAUCCGGAUUCAUUGGGUUUAAAGGGUGCGCAGGCGGCCCGGUAAGUCAGCGGUGAAAGUCAGGGGCCCAACCCCGGAAGUGCCGUUGAUACUGUCGGGCUGGAAUGCGGUCGAGGCGGGCGGAAUGUGGUGUGUAGCGGUGAAAUGCAUAGAUAUGCCACAGAACGCCGAUAGCGAAGGCAGCUCGCCAGGCCUGCAUUGACGCUCGGGCACGAAAGCGUGGGGAUCAAACAGG
rnacentral:rRNA from 1 species